CCUUCCGUCAACUUCGCCAACGUUCGAAUAAUUUCGUUACCAGUUGCAUUUUCCUGAGUUUUAAUUUAGAACGAUUUCUCGUUUUAUCUAAUUAUAGUGAUAAUUACUCAUGGUGGAUGUAUUUAAAUUUUAUCAAAGUAUGUUGUAAACUGGCAAAACGAUUAUUUGGUAAAAGAAAGUAGUACAUGUUAACAACAAUACGAAAAUGUCGUUGAUGACGUACUUGCUCUUGUCACCCUUUCACUAGUCUAUUGCUUCUUGUUCUGCUUGUGGCUUUCGUGAACAUUUUUGUUUCGAAAUUUUAGAAAAAAUAAUGGUACAUACAAAAUUUGUAUCACGACAGGUUCUGGAUUUAUGGUUUUAUCCGUGAUAUACUUCGGAAUACAUUGCCUCCUGCCUUUGCCAAUGCCAUACAAUGUAUUCUUCAGCUAUUCAACCUACACGGAGACUGUGCUUUGUUGUCGAGAGAUUGACUAUGAAUGAGAAGGAGAGAGAGAACAUUGAAGUUGAUUUUGACGUUGUGCAGCAACCAGUGUCUACAAUAGUACUAUCGUUUUUUCUGGACUUUUGGACCGAUGAGAGAGAAUAACUGAAAAUUUAUAAGGAAACUAAAAAACAUAUUGUCAAUAUUGCUGGAUUUGGCUUGCUCUUCAUACUUGUAUAACUUUAGAACAUUGCAUUCUUCAUUUAAUUAAGAUUGUUCAACAAAAGGGAAAGAAUUAAAGUUCAGUUUGGUCCUACUGAAACAACCAAUGUCUACAUGGACAUCAUCUUUCCUGGAUUGUUCUCUUGAUUACCUGUUUACAUCUUUGCCUUGCAACAUUAUGAAGUUAAUUUUCAACUGA